CAAAUCAGCCCAUAAGCCCCCCCUCUUGGGGGCUGCCUUCUCUCUCUUAGAUAGACCAAAAAAAAUUUUCGAAAUUGCUUUCUUUGUGUUUGUGAAAACAGAGCCUCUGCUUCUCUCAAGAAUACCCAAUUCAAAUUUGCAAAGAAUUGAUGGUGGUGAUCCCAACUGAUCCUCGUCCUCCUCUGAAGAUCAAGAACUCAAAUUUCCCUCCAAUCCGAAAGAGAGGCAGGG
rnacentral:misc_RNA from 1 species